UAAUAUAAAAUGAAACAUUUUGGUUUAUUCCAGAAAUUCAUGAUUUAGUUUCACAUUUAAAAAUCCAUUAAUACAACUUACAAUAUUAACACAUUUAGGAAGAAAAAUGAUCUUAAUAUACAUAGAUAAUUUUCUUAACAUUUACCAUCCACUUAUGAUAAAAAUGAUUAGUAAAAUGGAAAGAGAAGAAAACUGCCUUAAUAUAUUAGAAUAUUUCAUUAAGUAGAGAAAAGUUAAAUAAUUUCCUCUGAACUCAGAAAAAGACAAGGAUGCUCACCAGGACACUGCUAUGCAACAUUUUACUAAAUAUUUAAGCCCAAGAUAUAAGACAAGAAAAAUUAUUGAUAGACUGGGAAGUCAAAAACAAUAUUGUCAGUAUUUGCUGAUGCUGUGAUUUUCUAUAAAGAAAACACAAAUUUCUAUACCUUUAUAUAGAAAUCAUUAGCAUUAUUAUAAGCGUGUAGCAAGACUGAUGAAUUUGAAAUCAUUAUGUAAGGGUCAACUGUACUUUUCUACCACAUAGAUAAACUACCCAAAAGAUGGAAGGUAAAAUACCUAAAAAUAAGUCUGAUACUAAAUAAAUGCAUCUUAUUCAUGAAAAAAAUUAUUAAGAUAUUAAAAAUAUUGAAAAGGAGUUAAAUUCACUGAGAGCUCAUUCUAAUGCAUAAAAAUACAGCAAUGUAAAGACAACAGUUGUGCACAAGGAUAGAAAUAGGUGAGUGGAACAGAAAAUAAGAACCCAGAAACAGAUCAAUGGUCAAAAAAUUUCAAUACAUGAAGCCAGAAAAGAUGUAUGAUUGUAUGGAAAAAUAAAAGAAGAUUUCUAUUUCAGACUCUACACACAAAUACAUCUCAUAUAGCUUAAGGUUUAUAUGUGAAAGUAAUAAAAAACUCUUUCAUAUCUGUAUGUUUGGUACCCAGAAUACUCACUACUGUUGAGGUCGUGGUGCAACACUGCCUGUGCAGGAAUGGAGACAGGUUCAGGAAUGUCCACAGCAGAACCGGUUGCUGCAGGAGACUGAAAACCACCCAAAUGUCAAUUGAAGGAACACAGACAAUGUUUAGUAAAGAAAAAAAAAAUACCGUGGCUGCAAUCACUAUGUAAAGCAGGAAAGAUCAAUGAAUUAUAGGUGCCUGACAUCAACAUGGAAAGAAAGGUGGAGUGGAGAAAGAAAACACAUUGUGAAGAACAAAUACUACAUAAUUGCGGUUAUAUAAGUUUCAAAAGAAAUUCAGAGCUCCUGGAGCCACAUGAGGAGGCCCACAGGUUCAUGCAGACUUUCUCGGUCUACUCCUGAGCCUCACAGCAUACCUGAGGCCCCGCAAAUGUGCAGCCAUAAAGCAGUUGUAAAAUGAAGAGGAGAUGGUCUGGGUGCUUUGACAUAGUGGGUGGAUGUCUGAAGGUGAAGGUGGGACCGAUUUUAAAGGAGGUGUCUAUAGGAGCUUCCAGGUCCCCUAAAUCCCACUGGCUCUGCCAGUGUUUGGCCUUCAGGUCUGUGAACUUGUCUCCCGAGGACCCCAGGGUUAACUAGACUCAGGGAUGCUGAUCAAGACAAACCAAUCCCCCAGACACCAAUGGUCAUAACCAGAAUCAUGAUUUAUUAAUUUGCAGGGGGAGCUGCAUCUGUUGGAAAGACCAGAUACAGACACUCCUGUAAGACUAUCACAAUCCCUACCUGUAGAAAAGCCCCAUGGGAGCCAAAUCAUAAUCAGAGGGCUGCUUGUGGAGAAUGCAACCCAAGCAGAGAGAUGUAGUAAAGGAAAAAACUGUCCUUGGCAUCAGGCUGAAACCACUGGGGGCUUCUACCUUGCAACUGGCCUCUAUCUAGGCAGGGGCACAGUCCUCCUCUGGCAGAGUUUGGAUGGGCACCAGCAAUUCAGACAUGUAAAAUCAUGACCAUAGAAAGCCACCCAGGCUUGGGAUUAAGUCCCUCUACCCAUGUGGUCUUCAUACACUUAACUUCAUCUGUGAGGCUCAGCUCCUCACCUGUGAAAUGAGAAUAGUGGUAAUACCCACCUCUAGAGUGUGCGAAGAUUAGACAUGGUCUGGAGAAAGCAACUGGCUCAGAGCCUGGCACAUGGCAGGUGCUCUACAAAUGGAAUGUUCUCACAUUCACCCCAGGAGUCUCCCCUCACAGAUUCCCCUUAUCCAGGCUUGUGCUAUAAAUAGGCUUCCAUCAAGUUUAGAUGGCUUGGGAGCUCUGUAGUCCCUUUAACCUGGCUUAGCCUACUGUUAUACAGGAAUGGUUUCCAGGGGAAGGGUUUUCCUAGCCUCUGGGUCUCACUUCUCCCCCCCUUUUUUUGAUAAAAAUGUUCUAAAUUUUAUUGAGAUAAUGGUGAUACAACUCUGUGAGUACACUAACAAAAUUGAAUUAUCCACUUUACAUGGGUAAGUUGUAUGGCAUGUUAAUUAUAUCUGAAUGAAGCUAUUAAAAAUAAAAUGAAAACUUAACAAAGAAAGGGGGGGAAGAGUGAACACUGAUUCCCAUGAAUAUUUAGUUCUAAUAGUGAAAAUUAUACAGAAACUUACAUUUUAAAAUAAUAAACUGUAAAAAAUAGCAAAACAGCAACAAUUUGAUUAUGCUAUUCCUUCUCUUACAAUGUUGCUUUGAACAUAUCCACUAUUUUGAUAUUCUAUUUUGAAUGACCUCCAGGUUAUCACACUGAAGAGAUGGUGUCCCAAAGUGAAUUUAUGGCCCAAGAUGGAGUGUUUCUCUCUCUUCCCUUGUCCUAGACAGUCUUCUUUUACAGAUGCAGUCAAAUAGCUCGGUAAAUCCUGCUUUCCUCUCUAAAUGCUCACAGAACACUCUUACAUUGGUGAGUUCUAAAUUGCGGACCGGAAUGGGUAUCAAACAAUAUCCAAAUCACUUCUCCCUUUUAUUCCCCUGCUCCUUGGAGGAUGGUGUGGAGCUGCUCUUCAUGGAUGUCUUUGGUUUGGGGAGGCUAAGAUCCAUGCUUCCAUGAGGGAUGGUAGUUAAAUGCCUAAACCUGGCAUCACACUUCCUAGCAGGACCCUUGGGCUCUCACACUGCCUAUGUCUGUCAACAUAGACACCACAGUGAUCCAGGGCUUAUCUUGGCUUCAACCUGCCAUUCUUUUAUUUUAGUUCUCAACUUGUUCUGAACCCUGGUGAAGAAAAAUUUCCCUAUCUACAUGGAGAUCCUUCAGAAACUCAACACCGACCUAAAGUCUCUAUUAUUCUGCACUGUUCUAAGUGUUGAAUUUGUAGAGUGUAAAUACAUUUGCUUGUUUUAAAUUUCUAGAGAAAACACUCUAGUAUUACCACUAGCCGCCCCCACUCCCUGCAUUGUCAGAGCAAGUUCAAAGUAUGCACCAAGGGUGAUGGGGACCAUGGCACCUGCAGCUCUAGAGGAGGCCACCAUCCAUGCCUUUGCCACAUAGCCUCCGAGACCACAGCCUUCAGGGUUAACCCCUGAAGACACUAACAGGGCCCUAAGAAAGCACUGGCAUUGCCUUGUGGCAAUAACUAGGAGGAAACCUGGGAAGUAACCACAGGUCCUGUGCAUGUGACUGUCAGCUCUAUAGCUUGCCAGCUAAACAGCCUGGAUAAAUCAUCAGUAUUAUAUGUUUUAGUUUUCUAAUCCACGUUAUUUGUAGAAAUCACCUGUUAUUCUUGGUGAAUAUUAAAUUAAAUAAUUCAUAUAGAGUGUUUACCACAGUGCCUUACACAUUGCUGGUGCUUUAGUACAUAGUAGUUUACUGUUAUUAUUUCUCAUUCUCCCACACUGACCCUGAAGCCUUUAAAGACCAUUGUUCGACUUUGUGUACCUGUGACCUUGGAUUCUCCAGGCCUCACCUGUCUUUCAUGCCCUCAGUUAUCUGCUGGAUCCUGGAAUCAGAAGAAUGGCCAUAUCCAGGGCAUAAAAUCCCACUUUCUCAGUAGCUGCCCAAGGACUCAGGUGGCCCAGCCCAGAGGUUCAGGGGAGCUGACAUCCUGCAAGACAAACUGUGACUCAUGGGGCCCAAGAGCCUGGGGAGAGCCAGGAAGCACACCUUUCUCUAUUCUUCCUGUUGAAUGCCUCCCAGGUGUGGUGUUACUGUACCUUUUACCCAGAGAUGUCCCAUGGGAUGCCCAGAACCAUGGUGAGUCUCUGGGAAGCAGUGGUCAGCUGGGUAAUGCCCACUUUGUAUUUGCCCUUCUUCUCUUGUCAAUGCCCUGUUCCUUCAUCCUGGCUUCUCUGGGAUUGAAAUAAUAUGCAAACAUUGCCUCAGACUCUAUUUUCUAGAGUCUAGCCUAAGCCAGGCCCUACUCCCUUUUGUAUCUCUGGUUCCUAGAACAACACUUUACGGAGAGUUAGUGCUCAGUGCCUGUUUAUUGACUUGAAGAAUAAAAGAAUAACUGAUCAUCUGAAUGCCAAAAUGAAUUAAUGAAUGAGUCUUGUGUUCACGCCAGUAUUUCCACUGGACAAAAUUCUGAAUUUCUGAAGAGCCUCAGUCUCUCUGAUUGUAACACACUAAAGGAAAGCAACACAGGGAAAGAAGAGAGGAAGAGAAAAGGUGGCAGGAAGAGAAAGAAUCCAAAAGAAAAACUGCCUCGCAAUCCCAAUCUGUUCCAAUUGCCUUAUUUGCCGAGUUUUCACUUUGGGCCAAAACAGUACUAGUUUAGCAAAAGGGAGACCAAGGCUGGAAUCACUUUUGAGAACUGAGGGCACAUGGAAGAUCUCUGAUACAAUGAAUGGUGGAUUAUUUUUAAUCUGGAAAAAUGUCAAAAGCAUGAGCAGCUCAAUGCCAACCAUCCAACUUCAUGCAAACCUUUAAUUAGUUAUAAUACUUGGAAGCCUUUCCUGGGAUGCUGUUUCAUUGCCAGUGAACUCACCAUGCUCAGUGCCUGGCAACCAUCUGGUGCUGAAGUCACUGGGUUGGGAGCUGUAAGCCAGGCCUAGAGUCCCUGCCUUGCCUCCCAUUCCUUGUGUGACCCUGGUGUGUCUCUUCCCUUCAAGACCUCUGCUGCCCAUUGUGCAAAGUGAGGACAAGAAGUUCUAACCUUCCCUCAGUCUAUGGCUGACAGUGAAGCAUCUAAAUCACCCACAUGUUGGUCUGUAGAACGCCUUCAUUAUUUUGAGAGACUGUAAUAUGAUGGAAUUUCGGUUUACUUAACAUAGUCUUGAGAGGGCUUUCUGAGCAGCCCUGCUGUGCCUGCAGACCAAGGGAAGAGAUAAAAGGAGUCCAAUACAAAGGCCGGGUGGUCAACAGGGCUUGAGACUCCAGAGUGUGUGAGAGACAAGAGACAUUUGGGCCUCCAGACCACACUCUAGUUGCCCUGGAAUAAAUGGAACGGUCCUAGCUGCCAUCCAAGGCAGCCAGCAUGUGUAUCUUGUUCAAUGUCAGGCUCAUCGAAGCUGGCCUUGGAGUGAGCAUUUCUCCAUUUUCUCUAUGAAACCAGAGUUGGUUGAAGCAUUCAGGGCAUGGGCCCCUGCAUUGUGCACAUGAGACUUCCCUGUUGUUCCUAGAAUCUGCUGCAACCUUUGAGAUGAUAACAUCCAAAAUGUUUUUGCCCCUUACACUGCCUUUUUUGAAAUUUCAAUGAUUUUUUUUUUUAGCUGAAAGACAGAAUGACCCAUUGCUGAUGUGGAGGUUUUGGUGUGUUCUCAUUAGGGAAGUGGUACAACCUCUGAAGACUCACAUCAUUUCAGAGUCUGAGCCUUGAGUGGUCUUCCCUGCUCAGUGGAGAAGAUAUUGCUGGAAGCUGACAUACUUCUUUAUCUCCAGCACAUUUCACUCCUGCAAAUUGGCUUCCUUAUGUUGUCAUCAGAAAUGACCAUUCUCAUUUUUUUUCGGGGCAUUCUCUUCACCUGGAAUGUCUUCCCUGAUGGACCAAGAGAUUUAUCCAAAAUCACCAAAAACUGUCAUCAGAAUCAGCAUGGCUUUCAGUCAAAGACCUAUCUGGCAGGGCACCCUGCCUCUCCUCCAGGCUCCCACUCCUCCCGUCAGAUGACACCUACCAACAACUGAUCACUCCACCACCUUGGCCUUGAGAUUCGUGGGACUCAGGCCCUGCCCUUAGAGGUUGCUAUGCUGACUCUGUACUCUGUGUUUCUCAGAGGUUAUUUGGUGACUGAUAGCAUCAACUUCAUGUCCACAGGCUUGUUGAGUUCACACCUAGGGUGCCUGGCUCUCAUUGUGUUUGCUGUAAUAAAUAAUCACUGGGUUCUUACUGUAUCCAGCUCUGUUUUGGGAAAUGAGGAAACAGAUCAUGCUAAGACUGGACCAUAUCUUCAAGGAGUUCAGAGUCUACGACACCUCUAUAUGCAGUGGGGCAUGCAUAGGAGAAAAAGAAAUAUUCUGUAAGGACAAAGAAAACAAUUUCAUGACGGCACUGAAGAUUUUGAUCUCUCAAAUAAAAACACUCCAUUAAAGCAAGGUAUAAUUAUUUGGAGUCUAAAAUAAUUUCAUAUCAUAGAGAAAUAUUAUGCAGCAAAGAUGGGCAACUGGCAGAGGAAUGCAUACAGAUGUGUACCAAGAAACACCAUAUAUCUCUACUGCAUGUGGUGCAACAUUUUAAUCAAGUCAAAGACUCUCAUGCUUGGGUUAGAAUCUGUUGGCAUCCACACCUGUGAACGUGACUUGUCAUGGUUUCAACUGAAAAGAUAGCGGCCCAGGCCUGCCUGGGGAUGCACUUUUUGGGUGAUGGUAAAUGUGCUUUUUGUGCGAGCAGAUAGCAGCCUUGCCCUCUGUGUGUGCAUACCUCAGACUUCUCUCUCCAGAGGACUGGAACUUGCGGGGCAUAUGAGAAGACCCAGGCUCUCAGAGCAGCAGCAGCUGUCCUGGGCUCUGAGCAGAGAUUAGCGAGGCUCAGGCUGCAUUCCACAGCCUCCACCCCCUGUACUUCUGGCAGGGCGCAGUCCUACCUUUCAAACACACACACACACUCAACUGCAGGUGAGGAACUGACAUUGCCCUGGGAGUUUCUGUCUUUGCAGAGGAAUAUUUUGAAAACAUCCACUCUUGCUUUCUCCACACUCCCAUCCAGUGUGCCUGGCUUCUUCUGCACAGUGCAUAUUCUGGCUCUUUGCCAGAGGCCUGGAAAAUCCUGCCAGGCAGCCGUUCACGCAGUUGCCCCCAGGGGCAGUGACUGACCAGGAGUGAGACACACCACUCUCAGCCCAGCUGUCUGCUCAGCGCAGCUCAAAGCACUUGUACCUUGAGGGAGAGAAACCCAAGCCACACGUCCUGACAGACUGUCACCUGAGUCCCUUGGAAAACACAAUCAAGAGCUUCCUGCCCACUCAUGUCCCGAGCUGGCCGGGCUCAGUAGAUGCUGUGCCGCCAGCUCCUGGCUUAGCCGGCCUCCCUGGUGCGUCUGCCCUCAACUCUUUGUGCAGCUGGAGUCCCAGAAGGGAGUAAUAAUUAAAGAAAACUUUGUAAAUGUUCAAACUGAAUAAAACUGUUGUUGUUGCUCA